rnacentral:rRNA from 1 species
AUUGAACGCUGGCGGCAGGCCUAACACAUGCAAGUCGAGCGAGCGGCGGACGGGUGAGUAAUGUAUGGGGACUGCCCUAUAGAGGGGGAUAACUACUGGAAACGGUGGCUAAUACCGCAUAUUGUCGGAUAACCCAUAUGGGAUUAGCUGGUGGGUAAGGUAAUGGCUGACCUAGGCGACGAUCCCUAGCUGGUCUGACGGGAUGAUCAGCCACACGGGGACUGAGACACGGCCCAGAUGCCUACGGGGGCAGCAGUGGGGAAUAUUGCACAAUGGGCGCAAGCCUGAUGCAGCCAUGCCGCGUGUAUGAAGAAGGCCCUAGGGUUGUAAAGUACUUUCAGUCGGGAGGCGUUACCGACAGAAGAAGCACCGGCUAACUACGUGCCAGCAGCCGCGGUAAUAC